UACGGAGGGAGCUAGCGUUGUUCGGAAUUACUGGGCGUAAAGCGCGCGUAGGCGGCUUUGUAAGUUAGAGGUGAAAGCCCGGGGCUCAACUCCGGAACUGCCUUUAAGACUGCAUCGCUAGAAUCCGGGAGAGGUGAGUGGAAUUCCGAGUGUAGAGGUGAAAUUCGUAGAUAUUCGGAAGAACACCAGUGGCGAAGGCGGCUCACUGGACCGGUAUUGACGCUGAGGCGCGAAAGCCAGGGGAGCAAACGGG
rnacentral:rRNA from 1 species